CGGGUGAGUAACGCGUGAGAACCUGCCGUAUACUGGGGGAUAACACUUAGAAAUAGGUGCUAAUACCGCAUAAGCGCACAGCUUCGCAUGAAGCAGUGUGAAAAACUCCGGUGGUAUACGAUGGAUCCGCGUCUGAUUAGCUGGUUGGCGGGGUAAAGGCCCACCAAGGCGACGAUCAGUAGCCGGCCUGAGAGGGUGAACGGCCACAUUGGGACUGAGACACGGCCCAAACUCCUACGGGAGGCAGCAG
rnacentral:rRNA from 1 species